GAGAGAGAGAGAAUCCCAAGUAGGCUCCAUACUGUCAGUGCAGAGCCUGAUGUAGGACUCGAACUCACAAACCAUGAGAUCAUGCAUGACUUGAGCCGAAAUCAAGAGUCAGAUGCUUAACAGACUGGGCCACCCAGUAGCCCUGUACAUUCUAUUUUAAUAAACCGUAGGUUCCUUCUUGAGCUGCAGUUGGGAUAUCAGGGGCCGUUGAGUUUUGGAGGGCUCCCUUUAAAUUUGUGGGUGACUGCAUGCUGGGCUUGAUUAAAGGUGGUGGCUACAUGCUUGGGUAAAGCCUCUACUUGCAAUUUUACAUCAAUGAUGCAGCUCCUGGGACAAAUACCAUUAAGAGAUAAAACCAUCAGGAAGCCCUCUUUGUUUGGUAUCAAGCCUUAACAAUAUCCUAAUUAUGAGAAAUUGCUGGCAAAUGGGGGAAGACUCCUCUGGGGGAUAAGGCCAUCCCAAGGGCAUCCUCUAUGCAGUCAGAGGAAAGUGGGGCCAUCUAUGAUCUCCACAAGUCCAGAGUUGACCCUGUGGAGGAGGGUAGGCUCUGGCUUUUAGGAAUGACUGUGUCAUCCCAGCCACACAGAAUUGGUCAAGGUGAUAGUUGAGUUAUACAAUUGUUGAGUCCAUCCUGUUUUCCAGCUGUUCAAAUAAUCAUAUGCCCAUGGGGUCUGCUUAUUAUCCCCACAGAGUAACAAGCACAGAGAUUGUCUACAUAUGAGCCAUUGUGGCAAUUUCUCUGGUUUCCAAGUUGUCUAGCCAAGCAAACAACAAACAUUCAAAGACAAUCAACUAGAAUUUAACAUCCACGAAGGUGUGUUAUUGAAACAUAAUUUUUCUCUAAACUCACCUUCCAGAGAUAGUCAAAUCAAGACUAACUCAUUCUUUUUUAAUGUUUCUUUGUUUAUAUUUAUUUUGAGAGAGAGGGAGAGAGCGUGAGCAGCGGCAGGGGCAGAGGCAGAGAGAGGAGGGCAAUAAUUCCAAGCAGGCUCCGCGCUAUCAGCACAGAGCCCGAUGCGGGGGCUCCCACUCACAAACUGUGAGAUCAUGACCUGAGCCAAAUCAAGAGUCAGAUGCCCAGCCACCGGAGCCACCCAGGUGCCUCCUAGAUUGAACUUUUAAUAGCCUCUUGAGGCCAGAAGCCAAUCCAAAUACCUGCCAUUAGACAUGCCUGCAAUACCUGUAGAUGCGGGUGAAUUUCUCUUCUCGGGAUCCCCCAAAUAUCCUGAGGUUUCUGCACCCGCCAGGAAGUGAUGUUCUUUACCCACCAGAGACAGAGCAUGAGCGGGAUCAGAGAGAGAAGGAGUCACAGAGUCCAAAGCAGGCUCUAGGCUCUGAGCUGUCAGCACAGAGUCCAACACGGGGCUCGAACCCACGAACCGUGAGAUCAUGACCUGAGCCAAAGUCGGACGCUUAACCAACUGAGACACCCAGGCGCCCCACGCCUUGGUCAAGUUUCCAUUGCUUAAGCCUGUUCCCUAAAAGCAGCCUCUACAGUUUCCUCUUCUGUAAAUGGGGAAUUAUCAUAGCACCUCCUUCAUAGGGUCGUCUGAGGAUCAUCUGAUCUAAUGAAGAGCGUGAACAGGGGAGGAGCAGAGAGAGAGAGAGAGACACAGAAUCCGAAACAGGCUCCAGGCUCCAAGCUGUCAGCACAGAGCCCGACGCGGGGCUUGAACCCUUGAACUGUGAGAUCAUGACCUGAGCCGAAGUCGGACGCUUAACCGAAUGAGCCACCCAGGCGCCCCUAAAUGUUUGCAGUUUUAAAAUUUACUUUUUACUACAAUUUAAGUGAUGCUGGUGUUUAAAAAAAAAUGGUUUGCAAACUUCCUGAAGGGUCCACAAAUGGGUUUCCUGAGCCUGUAGGAGUUCCUCCACUGCUCUGAUUGCCAGAGGUCACGACUGGGGAGUGGCAAAGAGAGCCUUGGCCUGCACAGGGAGCAUCUGCUAUGUAUGGGAUUGAGGCCAAGGGCACGUCAAAGGGGGUUUCUCUUUCCUCUCAGGUGAAACCGCCAUCACGUCAGUAGCUUGAUCAUUGCAUAAUCAGAGGGCCCGAUUACUCAAGGUCAACCAUUGGUCCCUUCCAUACUGAACCUGUGUCGUCAUCAUCCAAAGUCCCCAAGCUUUUGAACAUGGCCCACCCUUCAGUUCAGACUAUUGACUCUCAUUCUUCACAGGGGCAAUGGGUGAGUUAGCUUUGGCUUACGAGUUGCUGUUUAACCUCUUUGAACCCUCUUUUCCCAUUUCUGAAUGGAAGGAAGAGGUGUUAUGAGUCUCUAAUACCUACAGGGAUAGGCGUGAUUCUGCGUCUAGUAUUCUGUUAGGGAGUGGUUACACAACAUCCUAAAUGUUCUAAAUGCCACUGAACUGUUCACCUUCAAAAUUUUAUGUUAUGUGACUCUCACCUCAAUUAAAACAUUGUGGUGGUUCUCGAA